GGCACCUUCCGCCUUUCUCACGCCGGCGACUACACUCCAUCACCGGUCCGAUUUCUCCCCAAACAAUUCGACGCAGCCUCCGUUCGGUCGAUUAAAGCCAUUUUGAAUUCCUCCCAAAUUUCAAUUCUGCCUGACCGCUACUGCCGUCGGUCAACAGCAGCCGGCACCGACUCUCCUUUGCGCACACACUCGCUGGACUCGCUUGCAGACAGCGGCCUCCGUCGCUUCGGAGUCGCUCCCUCCGUUCCAGUUGCACUCUCCUCGGUCUGGAAUCGCCGACGUCGCGCACACCAGCCGCCGCGUCGCAAGGCUGUCAUGCCGUCAGUCCAUCCGUCGGAUAUCAGGUGCCGCCGAGCGGUUGGAGGCACUCGAGAAUCCACCGAGCAGUCGCUGCCGUCGGGGUCUCACUUCGGUCUCCAGCCAUAUCGGCUGCAUUGUCACAGUCAAUUUCGUCGGACAGCCGUGGACUUCUCGGCUUAGGUUGACUUGGAAAAAUUUGCAAGGAAUCUUCCUCUUCACCUUAUUGCAGCGAUUAUGGUUUGGGAAAGGGAAAAAUCCACGUUCAAGUAUUUUCUAUGUGGAAUUCUUCUCUUACAUUCUAUGUGUGAUCUUGCCUCUCGGGUGCCCAAAAUUGAACAGAUAUGUACUUACUACUUCGUAUCCAGGAAUCUCACACCAUUCCCAAUGACAUGGUUCUUCUUCAUGCGGCUCUCGUAACUUGCAGUCUACAGUUGUUGACAGUCAUUGUUUCUCCACAUUACCAAGAGGUUGCUCAAGCAUUGACUGCGUAUUACAAGGUGUACAUAUUCAAAGAGGUAGCAUUUGCUGCUGUUUGUGUAGAUUUCAAGUAUCUGCAGACCAACGAUUCAUCUAGAAGUGCAUCCCCUACUACUGAAGAGACCUUGAAUCAUCUCUGGCAGUAGUGUGAUUCUUCUCUUCAAUUUCUACAGCCCCUGUGUCAGCAAAAGUUGUUCCGGGAAUGCAUUGUUAACAACCAGGAGCUUGGGAAGGGGUGGACUGCAGAGCAACUAGCUUCCUGUGUUGGACUCGGCCCUGAUGAAAAAAGGAGUAGCUCUACUUCUCAUCUUUGUAGUCGUCAAAAUCCUGGUCUUUGAGGAUUCUGUUUGCAGGACUUGCCUCUAAAAAAAGAAAUCGUUGGCCUUGGAAACUGGUUGAGCACUCGAUUAGUGUCAAGUAAAGAUACUUUAUAUGAGUGCCAGUCAAUAAUCAUCACUUGUGACUCACCAUAUGCUGUGUAUUGCUGCAUCAACUUCUGACUCACCAUAUGCUUUGGGGAAGCUUGCAAAUUCAAGAGUUUGUUCCUUCCUAGGUUAUUGGUUAAUGUUAUUAUUUUGAAUUUUAGUCUAACCUUGGAUUUAUGACAUUCCCAUGUUUUCCUUCGAGAGUAAGGUAUUAGAGCAGUUUCUGGACCGUCUCAUUGAGUAGUACUGCUCCAGUUUAGUUUUGACCACCUCACUAUUUAUUCCAGCGAGUUGAAGAGUAUAAAGCUGCAAUUAAUAUUUGCUUCAAUAUUCAAACUUUUAUUUAUUAAACCUAACUUUAGUUCGAUAUUAAGUGUGUCAUUUCAUACUAAAGCCAUCAAUGAAGAACUUCUGCAUAAUCAUUCUGAUGCUCUACACUUGUCUGUACCUGAUAAAAUUGAAGUUGGCCUAGCUUUGUCUAAUUUUGAAGAACACGAUACCAGGAUGUGUGGUUAGUUAUUCUCUUCUUUAUACAUACAUUUAGAUAUAAUUUUUUGUUUAGUUGUAGGAAGUGGAAUACAUACAACAAUUUAUUAUUUUUAUGUCCAUGGAAUUCUUCUACGUGUUGCACUAAACGUGUAACCCUGUUCUUUUCUGUAUGCAGGAAAGAAAUUCUUUUUAGGUCAUAUUUCAGAGCUGUGUGCCAUUCCUGUUGCACUUCCUGUUGCACUUGAGGCUAGUGAGAUAAUUCAGCAUAUUCUUUUUGAAGUGAUCUGUUUGGUCAAGUUCCUCAUCAAUUUAUUUUGACCUAACAUCUCUUAUAUGCCAGUUAGGUAGUUUUAUACUUAGUCUACUGUGUUUGAGUUUUUUAUCAUUACCUUCCCGUUUGAUGUUUAUGAUUGAUAAAUCAAAUUAUUGGUUUACUGAGUGAACAUGAUCCCAGAUAAAUAAUGUCAAAAAAUACUCUUCAACCUAACUAUGUUAAUUGUAAUGUUAUCCUGUUGUAAAAUUUUCAGCUUACCUAUAAUGUUUAUCCUUUGUGAAUGCUUCUACUUCAGAUCAGUCAUUAAGCAUCAACGCGUGACUCACCUUACGUUGGGUAUUGCUUUACGAGCUGUUUUAGAUGCUUUGUGGAAGCCUGCAGAUUCGGAAGUUUGUUCCUUCCUAGGUUAUCAGUGAAUGUUAUUAUUGUGAAUUACAGUCUGACCUUGGAUUUAUGACAUUAUGAUGUUUUCAUUUGGGAGUAAGGCAUUGGAGCAGUUUGUGGACCGUCUUAUUGAGUGGCCACAGUAUUGCCAUCAUAUCCUACACUUUGCAGCAUUUAUAGAGAGGGAUCUUAACAGUAUUUCAGCAGCUUAUACUUAACCUGAUGUUGGCUGCCAUAGUGCCAAUGCUGAUCAUCGACGCGGUCAUUUUGGUUUCAAAUUGCAGGCCCAUCAUUUUCUCUGAUCGGACCUGGCAGCAUCUCGUGUGGAUUAGCAAUUCCCCUCUUCGAUCUUACUACAACAGAGACCACCAAGUUCUCUAGAUGAGAGUUGACUCCUAAUUACAUGAAGCCAUCACAACACACCUACCC